UACGAGGGGGGGCGAGCGUUUGUUCGGAAUUAUUGGGUGUAAAGGGGUGCGUAGGCGGCCUGACAAGUCUGAUGUGAAAUCCCUGGGCUCAACCCAGGGCCUGCAUCGGAAACUGUCGGGCUUGAGUAUGGGAGAGGUGAGUGGAAUUUCCGGUGUAGCGGUGAAAUGCGUAGAUAUCGGAAGGAACACCUGUGGCGAAAGCGGCUCACUGGACCAUUACUGACGCUGAGGCACGAAAGCUAGGGGAGCAAACAGG
rnacentral:rRNA from 1 species